GGUUAAGCGACUAAGCGUACACGGUGGAUGCCCUGGCAGUCAGAGGCGAUGAAGGACGUGCUAAUCUGCGAUAAGCGUCGGUAAGGUGAUAUGAACCGUUAUAACCGGCGAUUUCCGAAUGGGGAAACCCAGUGUGAUUCGUCACACUAUCAUUAACUGAAUCCAUAGGUUAAUGAGGCGAACCGGGGGAACUGAAACAUCUAAGUACCCCGAGGAAAAGAAAUCAACCGAGAUUCCCCCAGUAGCGGCGAGCGAACGGGGAGCAGCCCAGAGCCUGAAUCAGUGUGUGUGUUAGUGGAAGCGUCUGGAAAGGCGCGCGAUACAGGGUGACAGCCCCGUACACAAAAAUGCACAUACUGUGAGCUCGAUGAGUAGGGCGGGACACGUGGUAUCCUGUCUGAAUAUGGGGGGACCAUCCUCCAAGGCUAAAUACUCCUGACUGACCGAUAGUGAACCAGUACCGUGAGGGAAAGGCGAAAAGAACCCCGGCGAGGGGAGUGAAAAAGAACCUGAAACCGUGUACGUACAAGCAGUGGGAGCACGCUUAGGCGUGUGACUGCGUACCUUUUGUAUAAUGGGUCAGCGACUUAUAUUCUGUAGCAAGGUUAACCGAAUAGGGGAGCCGAAGGGAAACCGAGUCUUAACUGGGCGUUAAGUUGCAGGGUAUAGACCCGAAACCCGGUGAUCUAGCCAUGGGCAGGUUGAAGGUUGGGUAACACUAACUGGAGGACCGAACCGACUAAUGUUGAAAAAUUAGCGGAUGACUUGUGGCUGGGGGUGAAAGGCCAAUCAAACCGGGAGAUAGCUGGUUCUCCCCGAAAGCUAUUUAGGUAGCGCCUCGUGAAUUCAUCUCCGGGGGUAGAGCACUGUUUCGGCAAGGGGGUCAUCCCGACUUACCAACCCGAUGCAAACUGCGAAUACCGGAGAAUGUUAUCACGGGAGACACACGGCGGGUGCUAACGUCCGUCGUGAAGAGGGAAACAACCCAGACCGCCAGCUAAGGUCCCAAAGUCAUGGUUAAGUGGGAAACGAUGUGGGAAGGCCCAGACAGCCAGGAUGUUGGCUUAGAAGCAGCCAUCAUUUAAAGAAAGCGUAAUAGCUCACUGGUCGAGUCGGCCUGCGCGGAAGAUGUAACGGGGCUAAACCAUGCACCGAAGCUGCGGCAGCGACGCUUAUGCGUUGUUGGGUAGGGGAGCGUUCUGUAAGCCUGCGAAGGUGUGCUGUGAGGCAUGCUGGAGGUAUCAGAAGUGCGAAUGCUGACAUAAGUAACGAUAAAGCGGGUGAAAAGCCCGCUCGCCGGAAGACCAAGGGUUCCUGUCCAACGUUAAUCGGGGCAGGGUGAGUCGACCCCUAAGGCGAGGCCGAAAGGCGUAGUCGAUGGGAAACAGGUUAAUAUUCCUGUACUUGGUGUUACUGCGAAGGGGGGACGGAGAAGGCUAUGUUGGCCGGGCGACGGUUGUCCCGGUUUAAGCGUGUAGGCUGGUUUUCCAGGCAAAUCCGGAAAAUCAAGGCUGAGGCGUGAUGACGAGGCACUACGGUGCUGAAGCAACAAAUGCCCUGCUUCCAGGAAAAGCCUCUAAGCAUCAGGUAACAUCAAAUCGUACCCCAAACCGACACAGGUGGUCAGGUAGAGAAUACCAAGGCGCUUGAGAGAACUCGGGUGAAGGAACUAGGCAAAAUGGUGCCGUAACUUCGGGAGAAGGCACGCUGAUAUGUAGGUGAAG
rnacentral:rRNA from 1 species